GACGAACGCUGGCGGCGUGCUUAACACAUGCAAGUCGAACGGAAAGGCCCUGCUUUUGUGGGGUGCUCGAGUGGCGAACGGGUGAGUAACACGUGAGUAACCUGCCCUUUACUUUGGGAUAACUUCAGGAAACUGGGGCUAAUACCGGAUAGGAGCUCCUGCUGCAUGGUGGGGGUUGGAAAGUUUCGGCGGUUGGGGAUGGACUCGCGGCUUAUCAGCUUUUUGGUGGGGUAGUGGCUUACCAAGGCUUUGACGGGUAGCCGGCAUGAGAGGGUGACCGGAGACAUUGGGACUGAGAUACGGCACAGAAUACUACGGGAGGCAGCAGUGGGGAAUAUUGCACAAUGGGCGGAAGCCUGAUGCAGCAACGCCGCGUGCGGGAUGACGGCAUUCGGGUUGUAAACCGCUUUCGCCUGUGACGAAGCGUGAGUGACGGUAAUGGGUAAAGAAGCACCGGCUAACUACGUG
rnacentral:rRNA from 1 species